rnacentral:rRNA from 1 species
UACGAAGGGGGCUAGCGUUGCUCGGAAUCACUGGGCGUAAAGCGCACGUAGGCGGAUUGCUAAGUCAGGGGUGAAAUCCUGGAGCUCAACUCCAGAACUGCCUUUGAUACUGGCGAUCUCGAGUCCGGGAGAGGUGAGUGGAACUGCGAGUGUAGAGGUGAAAUUCGUAGAUAUUCGCAAGAACACCAGUGGCGAAGGCGGCUCACUGGCCCGGUACUGACGCUGAGGCACGAAAGCGUGGGAGCAAACAGGG